UCAAGCACGGCUUGUGUGUUGGGCCCCCGCCCCCCGGUUCCGGGGGGCGG
rnacentral:rRNA from 1 species